rnacentral:rRNA from 1 species
GUGGAUUAGAUACCCUGGUAGUCCACGCUGUCAACGAUGUCAACUGGGUGUCGGUAGCUUUACGCUAUCGGUGCCGAAGCCAACGCGUUAAGUUGACCGCCUGGGGACUACGGCCGCAAGGCUAAAACUCAAAGGAAUUGACGGGGGCCCGCACAAGCAGCGGAGCGUGUGGUUUAAUUCGAUGCAACACGAAGAACCUUACCCAGGUUUGACAUGGUCGUAGUAGUGAAGCGAAAGCGGAACGAGCCUUCGGGCAGCGAUCACAGGUGCUGCACGGCCGUCGCCAACU